rnacentral:rRNA from 1 species
UUGUUGGUAAGGUAAAAGCUUACCAAGGCUUCGAUCAGUAGCUGGUCUGAGAGGACGACCAGCCACACUGGGACUGAGACACGGCCCAGACUCCUACGGGAGGCAGCAGUGGGGAAUUUUGGACAAUGGGGGCAACCCUGAUCCAGCCAUGCCGCGUGAGUGAAGAAGGCCUUCGGGUUGUAAAGCUCUUUCAGCCGGAACGAAACGGUUACGGAUAACACCCGUGACUACUGACGGUACCGGAAGAAGAAGCACCGGCUAACUACGUGCCAGCAGCCGCGGUAAUACGUAGGGUGCGAGCGUUAAUCGGAAUUACUGGGCGUAAAGCGUGCGCAGGUGGUUUUGUAAGUCAGAUGUGAAGGCCCCGGGCUCAACCUGGGAACUGCGUUUGAAACUACAAGACUAGAGUGUGGCAGAGGGGGGUGGAAUUCCGCGUGUAGCAGUGAAAUGCGUAGAGAUGUGGAGGAACACCGAUGGCGAAGGCAGCCCCCUGGGUCAACACUGACGCUCAGGCACGAAAGCAUGGGGAGCAAACAGGAUUAGAUACCCUGGUAGUCCAUGCCCUAAACGAUGUCAACUAGUUGUCGGGCCUUUACGGGCUUGGUAACGUAGCUAACGCGUGAAGUUGACCGCCUGGGGAGUACGAUCGCAAGAUUAAAACUCAAAUGAAUUGACGGGGACCCGCACAAGCGGUGGAUUAUGUGGAUUAAUUCGAUGCAACGCGAAAAACCUUACCUACCCUUGACAUGUAUCGAAGCCCGCAGAAAAGCGGGGGUGCCCGAAAGGGAACGAUAACACAGGUGCUGCAUGGCUGUCGUCAGCUCGUGUCGUGAGAUGUUGGGUUAAGUCCCGCAACGAGCGCAACCCUUGUCAUUAAUUGCCAUCAUUUAGUUGGGCACUUUAAUGAGACUGCCGG